rnacentral:rRNA from 1 species
AAUUGGAGGGCAAGUCUGGUGCCAGCAGCCGCGGUAAUUCCAGCUCCAAUAGCGUAUAUUAAAGUUGUUGCAGUUAAAAAGCUCGUAGUUGAAUUUCGGGAUCAAUAUUUCGGUCAUGCCGUUGGUAUGCACUGUUAUCAUUGAUUUCUCACCUUCUAAAGAACCGUAAUGCCAUUAAUUUGGUGUUACGGGGAAUUAGGACUGUUACCUUGAAAAAAUUAGAGUGUUUAAAGCAGGCUCACGCUUGAAUACACUAGCAUGGAAUAAUGAAAUAGGACAUCCGAUUCUAUUUUGUUGGUUUCUAGGAUCGAUGUAAUGAUUAAUAGGGAUAGUUGGGGGCAUUAGUAUUCAAUUGUCAGAGGUGAAAUUCUUGGAUUUAUUGAAGACUAACUACUGCGAAAGCAUUUGCCAAGGAUGUUUUCAUUAAUCAAGAACGAAAGUUAGGGGAUCGAAGACGAUCAGAUACCGUCGUAGUCUUAACCAUAAACUAUGCCGACUAGGGAUCGGAUGAUGUUAAUUUUUUAAUGACUCAUUCGGCGCCUUACGGGAAACCAAAGUGU